UAUAUAUAUAUAUAUGCUAAGAGUUUUAGCGGUAAAUCAGUUAGCAAGGAAAAGUAGAAUUCUCAAGUAGUCGAGGAAAUGGUUACAAGUUUUGGGAAAUUUCUAACCUAGAUAAAACAAAGUUCUUGCGGACCCUUCUCGUGUGUAAACAUAUUAUACAAGUAGAGUAACCAUUAUUUAAAUUGUUUCAAGAAUACUUGCAGUGGCGUAAAGGAAGAUCUUCUAAAAAUAUGUUGUUCCAUAAUUCACGGGCAGAGAAUGUUUACGUAUUUUUCAAGUCGUUAGUAUCGAUCGCCGUACUUCAAAGCUGACCCCAGUCAAGCUCCCAAUACAUCUUCCUUAAAAUAUAUUAUCUCACUGACGAAUAAAUUUUUGAAACCUGACUUGGCCGAUUUAUUCGAUAUUUAUCGAUUUGAUUAUGUCAUCGAAUAUUAAUUGACUCGAACGAGAAAAGAAGAAAUUUACACAAACGAUUAUUUACAAGCAAAGUUUCCCAAAAGUUAAAUUAGUUUUGGAAAAACAACUGUCGCAAGUUACCUAUAUCAUUCUAUUUUUUAAUAGCUGAAAUGAUCGUCAUUCGGACGGAAAUUUUGACGCGGAAUAGAAAAAAAACAAGCGUUUUAAUAUCGAUGAGGAAGGAGAUUUAAAAGUGUUUAGUUAUAUUUAAAUAAUUUCAUACUUCCAAUACUCUAAUAAUAUAAUAUCUGGCUAACUUGCUGCAUUAUUCUGUUUAAAGAGGGAGAGACAGAGAUAGGGGAAGGGAGAUACCCACUAUUUCCAAGGAACGUAGUUUGAGCGGAAACGGAAGCUCUAAAAUACAGAUGUAGAAUUAUGGAAACCGAUAGGAUAUCCAUAAAAUAUCAUUAACCAGCACGGUUAUUGGAAGCGUGAACACAACAGUAAUUAUAACCAGGAAUCACGAGAAUGUAAUGGGAACAGACAAUAACCGCGAGAGAUUAUUAAUGCAUUCUAUUAUACUUAACAAAGUCUGAAUUGGGUUCCACUGAACGCAUCUUGUCACAAACUUAAGUUCGAUUGCGAAUUCGUGCCGUUGAAAUCAAAUUUUAACACGUUGAUUGCUAUGUUUGCAUAAAACCACCAAAAAGUCAGGUAAUUUAACUAGUAUCUAGUACCUAUUCUAUUUUACAGAUCUUAAAAUAGAUAUUCUUAUUACCAUUAAAUGAAAUUGAGAGAAGUGUGUGUUUUUUGAUAUAUUCACUUCGAUAUCGUUCGAUAAACGUAUCGACGUCAUUUUUUCCACCAUACUUUUCAAUAAUCUAACGUGUGUUAAAUAUUGUAUAGUUAAGUAUAUCAUACUUAAUCAUUGAAGAAUACAUUAAGUAGUCCCUUCUCACGAAAUUAGAAUAUAUAUAGUUUGUCUGAUUAAUUAGUCCAUACGAAACAUUGCGCGUGGCCAUUUAAACUCGUUCCACAAACAAGCAAUCGUUCAAACAAGAAUUCCUUUAAUCAAGGAAAACUAGCGCAGUCCCUGAAGUAAAACUUUCACGCGCGGUACGUUUAAUUCUGCAUCUUUUCAUUUCAACUGUCCUUCCGACCAAGUAAUCUUCGCCAAGUAAUUCCGAUGAAACGUUAACACGCGGCUCUUCAAGCUAUCUUGUCAUAUCAUGUCUCGCGAGUGCUACUCUGUAGUUUCUAGCUGGAUGGAUCGUGUAUACGAUUCGAAGUCGCGGAUAAAAGACGAAUCGAGCUAGUAGAGGGUUAAAGAAAGCGAAAAGGGAAAGAUAAGGCGAACAGAUUGUCUGACGAAACGAGGAGAAAAAGGCAAGGUACGUCUCUCGAUUAUGCAUGCUUUCCUGACGCAAGAACUGGGCUAAUGGUUAGUAUUCUAGAGAAUUAUCGUUGCAGACUAAUUGCGCCCAUGCUGGCUGUUGCCCAACUGCUCUCGCUGCGGAAUGUUUCUAUUCAGUGUCUCUUUGUGUGUCAAUGAGGAAACACUUAUAUCAAGAAGUGUGAUGUACACUGGAUGUUAAAAGCAAGCAUAUGUUUGAGAGUUUAACGUUCUGUCAACUGUAUGUAACUUUCCUAAGUAUCGAACAAGCUUGAGCAAAUUGAAUUUGAAAUAAAAAUAAGGAAGAUAAUUUCAAAUAAUGAAUCAUCUCAAAUAGGUACCUUGUUAUUUUCAUUUUAAAGAUAACACGGGCAAAGUAAUUUUAUUUCUAUUAAGAACGAACAAGACAUCCUGUACGUUCUUUAUUAGACUACUCUGUAAUUUGAAAUCAUACGAAUAAAAUAGAACAUCGCUAAACGUCCGCCGUACCAUUCGAUAGCUUGACAAAGCUCGGUCAUUCAAUCACACGAAUCACCGUAAUUCAUCGCAAUCUAGAAAUCUACUCAAGGACGGUUCAUCAAAGGUUUCGAGUCGCUUCAAACGAAGCCGGAAGAGAGGAUGACAAAAAGAAUGAGCGAAACAAGCAGUCGUGUCGUGGACGAGCUCGCGAGCGUGUGUCAGUAGAAAUCCGUGUAUCCGAUACCUUUUUAAUUAAUUUCAUAUUCUCUCGUCUCUCUGUCAUAUAUUCCAUGGGCAAGAGAAAGAAGCACAGCCAGUGAAAGAGGGACAGCCAUCCAAAGAGGCUUCGCCAAUUCAGCUGGAUGAGCAACGAGCUUAAAAGCUGACUCAGUCGUCCAACCAAGCAGACAGACGUGCGUGUACAUGUAUAUACAGAUACACGGAAAGAGACACAGAUAUACUGUACGAAUACAAAGGAAAUUCGUAUACAGGUGUGAACCACAGGAACACACAGAGUCAAGCAGGACACGUUUGCACGAGCGAUUGUGAAUUUCCACGAGACGGUUUGUCCUUUGAGCCUUGCUGCGUUGGCCGGCAAAGGGAAGAUGAAGGAGCUCGUAAUUUUCCGAGCUCCGCGUUUCAGCUCGCGCGGCUAUUUUCUGCGGUUCACGCGUAUUAUGCAACCGACCCGACUUGAACUGGCACGAGCUUACACGCCUGGCGUGCUUCCACUGUAUUCUCUGUUUCGAUUCUGUGUGUGAGUUCGCGCGGGUAUGCGUGAGAGAGAGAGAGAGAGAGAGGGAGAGAUCGCGCAUUCAGGAACCACUGAUGAACGCGUGCAUAUUCAACGCGCGACUCAAAGGGUGCUUUUGCAUUCCGUUACAUGUGCCCGGGAUGUAUCAAGAAUUUGGUGGAACUGAAACACCGAGGAACGGAGCAAUGGAGAACUAUACGCGGAAAUUGCUGCGGGCACGUAACAAAAUUUGUCAGGAGAUGAGAUUUUCAGCGAAGGCAGUUAUGUACGCCGUAAGAAUGAAUGGCCGACCGGUGGAAAACGAGUUCUCGCAGUGCUAACAAUAAGAGCCCGUCCGUUUUCCUGAUGAAAGGGAUUUCCAACAUUUCAUAUAGACGGAUCCUCAUAAACGGAAUGCUAUUACGGAGCAAUAAUCGAAUACGUUGUCGAUAAAGCAGAAAGAACUACUUGGCCAAUAGAUAUAUUCAAAAUUGUUGAGGUUGAGGCUGACUGAUUGAAGAACGAGUGGAUGAAUUUGUAAUAGAAAAAUAUAUUGAAAUAAUUAAAGGUAUAAGUAUAA